rnacentral:rRNA from 1 species
GACGAACGCUGGCGGCGUGCUUAACACAUGCAAGUCGAACGGAAAGGCCCUGCUUUUGUGGGGUGCUCGAGUGGCGAACGGGUGAGUAACACGUGAGUAACCUGCCCUUGACUUUGGGAUAACUUCAGGAAACUGGGGCUAAUACCGGAUAGGAGCUCCUGCUGCAUGGUGGGGGUUGGAAAGUUUCGGCGGUUGGGGAUGGACUCGCGGCUUAUCAGCUUGUUGGUGGGGUAGUGGCUUACCAAGGCUUUGACGGGUAGCCGGCCUGAGAGGGUGACCGGCCACAUUGGGACUGAGAUACGGCCCAGACUCCUACGGGAGGCAGCAGUGGGGAAUAUUGCAUAAUGGGCGGAAGCCUGAUGCAGCAACGCCGCGUGCGGGAUGACGGCCUUCGGGUUGUAAACCGCUUUCGCCUGUGACGGAGCGUGAGUGACGGUAAUGGGUAAAGAAGCACCGGCUAACUACGUG